AUGCCUCAGUAACGGCGAGUGAAGCGGCAAGAGCUCAAAUUUGAAAGCUGGCUCCUUCGGGGUCCGCAUUGUAAUUUGCAGAGGAUGCUUCGGGUGCGGCCCCUAUCUAAGUGCCCUGGAACGGGCCGUCGGAGAGGGUGAGAAUCCCGUCUGGGAUAGGGUGUCCGCGUCCGUGUGAAGCUCCUUCGACGAGUCGAGUUGUUUGGGAAUGCAGCUCUAAAAUGGGUGGUAAAUUUCAUCUAAAGCUAAAUACUGGCCGGAGACCAGAUAGCGCACAAAGUAGAGUGAUCGAAAGAUGAAAAGCACUUUGAAAAGAGAGUUAAAAAGCACGUGAAAAUUGUUGAAAGGGAAGCGCUUGCGACCAGACUCGCCUUCAGGGUUCAGCCGGCACUCGUGCCGGUGUACUUCCCUGGAGGCGGGCCAGCGUCGGUUUGGGCGGCCGGUCAAAGGCUCCCGGAAUGUAGUGCCCUCCGGGGCACCUUAUAGCCGGGAGUGCAAUGCGGCCAGCCUGGACCGAGGAACGCGCUUCGGCACGGACGCUGGCAUAAUGGUCGCAAACGACCCGUCUUGAAACACGGACCAAGGAGUCUAACAUCUACGCGAGUGUUCGGGUGUCAAACCCGUACGCGCAGUGAAAGCGAACGGAGGUGGGAGCCCCCUCGCGGGGCGCACCAUCGACCGAUCCUGAUGUCUUCGGAUGGAUUUGAGUAAGAGCGUAAAUGUGGGGACCCGAAAGAUGGUGAACUAUGCCUGAAUAGGGUGAAGCCAGAGGAAACUCUGGUGGAGGCUCGCAGCGGUUCUGACGUGCAAAUCGAUCGUCGAAUUUGGGGUAUAGGGGCGAAAGACUAAUCGAACCAUCUAGUAGCUGGUUCCUGCGA
rnacentral:rRNA from 1 species